UGCUGAACUCAGCCCUACAGAGCUAAAAGUAAGCUCUUUGAAAGUUGGUGGGCGAUUGAGUUCAUAGCGCUUAAAAAAAUCAGCUAUCUCCAUUUAAUUGUUCAGGAGAAACAGAUCGAGACAAUCGCAUCUGUGCAACUGAAGAGGAAGCUAAACUCGAGGCGAAGUCUUCCAGUACUCGCUCGAGAUGGAUCGCUCUCCGAAGUAUUUUGGAUUAGUCAUUCAGCCUGGAAUGCUAAACACAAGAUGUUAGCUGAGUCAGUGAUUCGAAUAAGCACAUCUCUAAGAUGGAAGCUCAGCGUUCAAUCACAGGGACCACUGUGAAGGGAUAAUGCAGGUCAGACCUGCUUCAGACGAGCGAUAGUUUCACCAGCACAGCGUGACACUGUUGCCAAGGCCCCAGCAAAAGACUCAUCUACCAUUGUGUCAGAGGACAGCUCGUGCAUCGAGGAGACACUGGCGACGUAAUGCCAACCUUGCGUGGGCCUUGCCACGUCAAAAGCAGGGCCACAACAAAUGAGGUGCGAUCUAUAUCCCUCCGAAGCAACGGCAGGCCUGAUUGGAGCUGGUUCACAUUAUUCUGGAUAGGAAGAGCCACGUUGGGAAUUUUCACAGAACGUGGAAACAGGCCAUUCGGCCCACCACAUCCGUGAUGAUUACGGCUUUCCUAUAAGAAUAAAGAAGAGCAUUUCUUCCCAGGCUUGGUGCAGGACGCCCGGCCUCUGUUGGCAGGGACCCACAUUGUGCAGGCCAUAGCCAUGACAUCCUCAAAGAACAUUCCCCCCCACCCACCGACUGGAGGCAAAGUCCAGGAGCAAACUACCAGCUUAGAAGUUUCGCACCUUCCCUGAACCGUAUCUGCACAGCCACCACAGGAGGAGUGGGAGAGAGAGAAAGAACAGCUUUGAAAAAUAACAGCUUUGUUAUUGCAAGUGUUAGCAAUGAAGCUGAAUUUGCAGAUGGCCCCAUGGUUUCUGCAGUCUUCACCAAACACAGAUGGAAAAUGGACCCUUUGAACUGUUCAAAAAAAAUCUGUUACCACAGCUUUCUAUGGGGUCU